rnacentral:tRNA from 1 species
AGGAUUAUAAUUAAUUAUAAUAUUCAAUUUGCAUUUGAAAAGUGUAGAGAUACUAAUCUUU